GGGUUGUGAGGUUAAGCGACUAAGCGUACACGGUGGAUGCCCUGGCAGUCAGAGGCGAUGAAGGACGUGCUAAUCUGCGAUAAGCGUCGGUAAGGUGAUAUGAACCGUUAUAACCGGCGAUUUCCGAAUGGGGAAACCCAGUGUGAUUCGUCACACUAUCAUUAACUGAAUCCAUAGGUUAAUGAGGCGAACCGGGGGAACUGAAACAUCUAAGUACCCCGAGGAAAAGAAAUCAACCGAGAUUCCCCCAGUAGCGGCGAGCGAACGGGGAGCAGCCCAGAGCCUGAAUCAGUGUGUGUGUUAGUGGAAGCGUCUGGAAAGGCGUGCGAUACAGGGUGACAGCCCCGUACACAAAAAUGCACAUGCUGUGAGCUCGAUGAGUAGGGCGGGACACGUGGUAUCCUGUCUGAAUAUGGGGGGACCAUCCUCCAAGGCUAAAUACUCCUGACUGACCGAUAGUGAACCAGUACCGUGAGGGAAAGGCGAAAAGAACCCCGGCGAGGGGAGUGAAAAAGAACCUGAAACCGUGUACGUACAAGCAGUGGGAGCACGCUUAGGCGUGUGACUGCGUACCUUUUGUAUAAUGGGUCAGCGACUUAUAUUCUGUAGCAAGGUUAACCGAAUAGGGGAGCCGAAGGGAAACCGAGUCUUAACUGGGCGUUAAGUUGCAGGGUAUAGACCCGAAACCCGGUGAUCUAGCCAUGGGCAGGUUGAAGGUUGGGUAACACUAACUGGAGGACCGAACCGACUAAUGUUGAAAAAUUAGCGGAUGACUUGUGGCUGGGGGUGAAAGGCCAAUCAAACCGGGAGAUAGCUGGUUCUCCCCGAAAGCUAUUUAGGUAGCGCCUCGUGAAUUCAUCUCCGGGGGUAGAGCACUGUUUCGGCAAGGGGGUCAUCCCGACUUACCAACCCGAUGCAAACUGCGAAUACCGGAGAAUGUUAUCACGGGAGACACACGGCGGGUGCUAACGUCCGUCGUGAAGAGGGAAACAACCCAGACCGCCAGCUAAGGUCCCAAAGUCAUGGUUAAGUGGGAAACGAUGUGGGAAGGCCCAGACAGCCAGGAUGUUGGCUUAGAAGCAGCCAUCAUUUAAAGAAAGCGUAAUAGCUCACUGGUCGAGUCGGCCUGCGCGGAAGAUGUAACGGGGCUAAACCAUGCACCGAAGCUGCGGCAGCGACACUAUGUGUUGUUGGGUAGGGGAGCGUUCUGUAAGCCUGCGAAGGUGUGCUGUGAGGCAUGCUGGAGGUAUCAGAAGUGCGAAUGCUGACAUAAGUAACGAUAAAGCGGGUGAAAAGCCCGCUCGCCGGAAGACCAAGGGUUCCUGUCCAACGUUAAUCGGGGCAGGGUGAGUCGACCCCUAAGGCGAGGCCGAAAGGCGUAGUCGAUGGGAAACAGGUUAAUAUUCCUGUACUUGGUGUUACUGCGAAGGGGGGACGGAGAAGGCUAUGUUGGCCGGGCGACGGUUGUCCCGGUUUAAGCGUGUAGGCUGGUUUUCCAGGCAAAUCCGGAAAACUAAGGCUGAGGCGUGAUGACGAGGCACUACGGUGCUGAAGCAACAAAUGCCCUGCUUCCAGGAAAAGCCUCUAAGCAUCAGGUAACAUCAAAUCGUACCCCAAACCGACACAGGUGGUCAGGUAGAGAAUACCAAGGCGCUUGAGAGAACUCGGGUGAAGGAACUAGGCAAAAUGGUGCCGUAACUUCGGGAGAAGGCACGCUGAUAUGUAGGUGAAGUCCCUCGCGGAUGGAGCUGAAAUCAGUCGAAGAUACCAGCUGGCUGCAACUGUUUAUUAAAAACACAGCACUGUGCAAACACGAAAGUGGACGUAUACGGUGUGACGCCUGCCCGGUGCCGGAAGGUUAAUUGAUGGGGUCAGCGCAAGCGAAGCUCUUGAUCGAAGCCCCGGUAAACGGCGGCCGUAACUAUAACGGUCCUAAGGUAGCGAAAUUCCUUGUCGGGUAAGUUCCGACCUGCACGAAUGGCGUAAUGAUGGCCAGGCUGUCUCCACCCGAGACUCAGUGAAAUUGAACUCGCUGUGAAGAUGCAGUGUACCCGCGGCAAGACGGAAAGACCCCGUGAACCUUUACUAUAGCUUGACACUGAACAUUGAGCCUUGAUGUGUAGGAUAGGUGGGAGGCUUUGAAGUGUGGACGCCAGUCUGCAUGGAGCCGACCUUGAAAUACCACCCUUUAAUGUUUGAUGUUCUAACGUUGACCCGUAAUCCGGGUUGCGGACAGUGUCUGGUGGGUAGUUUGACUGGGGCGGUCUCCUCCUAAAGAGUAACGGAGGAGCACGAAGGUUGGCUAAUCCUGGUCGGACAUCAGGAGGUUAGUGCAAUGGCAUAAGCCAGCUUGACUGCGAGCGUGACGGCGCGAGCAGGUGCGAAAGCAGGUCAUAGUGAUCCGGUGGUUCUGAAUGGAAGGGCCAUCGCUCAACGGAUAAAAGGUACUCCGGGGAUAACAGGCUGAUACCGCCCAAGAGUUCAUAUCGACGGCGGUGUUUGGCACCUCGAUGUCGGCUCAUCACAUCCUGGGGCUGAAGUAGGUCCCAAGGGUAUGGCUGUUCGCCAUUUAAAGUGGUACGCGAGCUGGGUUUAGAACGUCGUGAGACAGUUCGGUCCCUAUCUGCCGUGGGCGCUGGAGAACUGAGGGGGGCUGCUCCUAGUACGAGAGGACCGGAGUGGACGCAUCACUGGUGUUCGGGUUGUCAUGCCAAUGGCACUGCCCGGUAGCUAAAUGCGGAAGAGAUAAGUGCUGAAAGCAUCUAAGCACGAAACUUGCCCCGAGAUGAGUUCUCCCUGACUCCUUGAGAGUCCUGAAGGAACGUUGAAGACGACGACGUUGAUAGGCCGGGUGUGUAAGCGCAGCGAUGCGUUGAGCUAACCGGUACUAAUGAACCGUGAGGCUUAACCUUACAACGCCGAAGGUGUUU
rnacentral:rRNA from 1 species